ensembl:lncRNA LINC02057 long intergenic non-protein coding RNA 2057
GAGUACACCCUCACAGCGCUGCUCGUGGGGCAAGCAUGCCUGGGAGAUGACCUGGGGCACCACGCCCUGCCUAUCUCAGACAAGGAACUCCAGGCAGCAGUGGCGAAGCUAAGCAGCUCCAUCCUUAAGGGGCGGAGGCCGGCUCAUAUUUGCCUAUUAGGGCCGUGGGACGCCGAGGUUCUGCUGGGUCCCUCCUGGAAAUAGAUCCUUCCCAGCCAGCACCCGAAGUCAGCAGCAGAGGGCAAAGCACCUGGGCUUUAUUUAGCUCCAAGCUCCACGAUCCUCCUGCAUAUUGUUCCUGGAAGAGGCAAAAGCCUAGGGCUUCAAGAUGCCGGGGCUUUAAGAAACCAAGGCAUGACCUCAAGUGAUUUGCCGGAGGUGGCCUCGGUGGCAGCAGUCAUUGAAGAAAGGAAGACAGCUGCCCAGCCAGUCUGACAGACCAUACACAGACAGCCCUGUUCACAGGGAGGGUGCAUCUGAGAUCAAUGGCCAAAGAAAAUGGGCUCUGAACAGUGCUUCACUGUCACAUCCAGGAUCUGGAAAGUUGUAUUUGAGUGCUGGGUUUGAUAUACGUUAACUAGAAGAUAAAACAUGCCGACUAUGGCUAGCAGACACAGUGCCCCAUCAUGCCUGAACAAAAAGAUAUUUUAUACCAGAAGUGCGGAACAGGAUUUUUUGCAGUUUUGCUAGAAUCCUUGUCACAGUGCUUAAUAAUGUUACAUCAUUUAGAUAAUAAUUUUUCUAGUUUUCAGUUUACCUAAUAGUACGUGUUCAAUUAUUUUAUGGAGCUUUUUCAAUCAGAACAACAUCGUACCUGUCUUUUCAGUGUAUUAUUCCCAAAUAAAAGUUUAACCUCUUUUCGGAAUCUUA